UCGAAAUCGGUAGACGCUACGGACUUGAAAAUCCGUUGGCUUUUAGACCGUGAGGGUUCAAGUCCCUCUACCCCCA
rnacentral:tRNA from 1 species